rnacentral:rRNA from 1 species
UACGGAGGGGGCUAGCGUUGUUCGGAAUUACUGGGCGUAAAGCGCGCGUAGGCGGCUUUGUAAGUUAGAGGUGAAAGCCCGGAGCUCAACUCCGGAACUGCCUUUAAGACUGCAUCGCUAGAAUCGUGGAGAGGUGAGUGGAAUUCCGAGUGUAGAGGUGAAAUUCGUAGAUAUUCGGAAGAACACCAGUGGCGAAGGCGACUCACUGGACACGUAUUGACGCUGAGGUGCGAAAGCGUGGGGAGCAAACGGG